ACUAGCUCAUCGCCUCAUCCUCGUCCGGUCCGUGCCGCAGCGUUCCUCCCCCCUUCGCGCUAUCCACUGUCUCUGGUGCGACCUAAUAUAAUCUGCGGUUGAUCUGGUCGGGCGCGCAGCGGCGGUGGCGGCAAGGACGUGGAGAUGGUCGGGGAGCGCCACUAGGACGUGGGGAUCUGGAACGGCUCCACCAGCAGCGCUGCAGGGGAUGCUUCUGCGCCUAAGCCUGAAGAGGUGAAACGCCUGCCUGGUGGUAAGGUCAAGAAAAAGUUCCGGCCACCAUGUGCCAGUAGAUGGACUCUGUCACCAAUACCAAAGCCUCUGAACAACCGCGCGAUCUUAGAAGAGAACGUGAGAGAGUCCGUUCUGCCUCAAUGACAUCUGAACAAAGAGAGGAAAGGAACAGGAAACGACAAGAGGCUUACAAAAGAAAUAAGUGUGAUGCAAACAAUAAGGAAAAUGACCCAGAUGGUAGUCACAGGAUUUUAAUAUUAAUGGCUCUAAUACUAAUGCAUCCGGCGACCGCGUUACUACCAUGCCUGAACAGCCAAUGGGUAUGGGUUGGCACCGCGCUC